rnacentral:tRNA from 1 species
CAGGGAGACAACAAAAUGUUUAAUAUUAUUAUUUUGUCACCUUAGGUCGAUCGGUAUCUCACGUUCUUAAUUUAUUAAGAAUUUCAUUUCCUAAGUUUUUCUAGGUCACACCCAUUAUUUUCCUGGGCCAUUAGCUCAGGUGGUUAGAGCGCACCCCUGAUAAGGGUGAGGUCCCUGGUUCAAGUCCAGGAUGGCCCAUAUCUCUAUGUUGGGGGUAUAGCUCAGUUGGUAGAGCGCCUGCUUUGCAAGCAGGAUGUCAGCGGUUCGAGUCCGCUUACCUCCACUGAUUACCACCUCUGCCAUAAUUUGUAAAAAGGGAAUAUUUUGAGUUGUGAUCAAAAUCUGAACGAAUCUAGCUUCCUAAUGAAAUUAUUAAGAUGCUGGACUCAUUGAAUUAAUUUCAUUGUUUUCAGAGAACCUUGACAACUGCAUAGAUUUUUUUAAAGACAAUAAGCAUCUUUAAUGAUGCAGAUUUAUUAUUUGUGCUAAUGCAUUAAUAACAAUUCUAUUAAGCUGAUGCUUCAAUCUUUUGAAGUUAUU